rnacentral:other from 2 species
AGGCUGCUGCCUGGUGCGUCAGGCCGCAUUAUCCCCAGGGCCGUAACCCUACCUCUCGGGAGCUGUCCCUACCGGGGUCGUGGCCCCGGUACACGGCGCCCACCUGCGUAAGCAGGCCAUGGAGGAUAGGCACAUGGCCAACGGCCGAGGCGGCACCUUC